AGCAGCCGCGGUAAUUCCAGCUCCAAUAGCGUAUAUUAAAGUUGUUGCAGUUAAAAAGCUCGUAGUUGAAUUUCGGAGUUUGUCGGUUGGUCGGGCUUCACUGUUCGCACUGGCCUGAUGGAUUCCUACCUUCUGAAUAACCAGCAUGCUAUUAAUUUAGUGUGUUGGGGAAGCAGAGCUAUUACCUUGAAAAAAUUAGAGUGCUUAAAGCAGGCUUACGCUUGAAUAGAUUAGCAUGGAAUAAUAAAAUAGGACGGCAUGGUUCUAUUUUGUUGGUUUCUAGGAUCACCGUAAUGAUUAAUAGGGAUAGUUGGGGGCAUUAGUAUUCAAUUGUCAGAGGUGAAAUUCUUGGAUUUAUUGAAGACUAAACUUCUGCGAAAGCAUUUGCCAAGGAUGUUUCAUUAAUCAAGAACGAAAGUUAGGGGAUCGAAGACGAUCAGAUACCGUCGUAGUCUUAACCAUAAACCUAUGCCGACUAGGGAUCGGACGAUGUUAAUUUUUAAUGUACUCGUUCGGUCGG
rnacentral:rRNA from 1 species